CACGUAGGAAGCGAGCGUUAUCCGGAUUUACUGGGCGUAAAGCGCGUGCAGGCGGUUUUACAAGUUGGAUGUGAAAGCUCCCGGCUUAACUGGGAGAGGUCGUUCAAGACUGUGAGACUGGAGUGCGAAAGAGGGAGGUAGAAUUCCGAGUGUAGUGGUGAAAUGCGUAGAUAUUCGGAGGAAUACCAGAGGCGAAGGCGGCCUCCUGGUUCGCAACUGACGCUGAGACGCGAAAGCCAGGGUAGCAAACGGG
rnacentral:rRNA from 2 species